rnacentral:rRNA from 1 species
GAUGAACGCUGGCGGCGUGCCUAAUACAUGCAAGUCGAGCGAACAGACGAGGAGCUUGCUCCUCUGACGUUAGCGGCGGACGGGUGAGUAACACGUGGAUAACCUACCUAUAAGACUGGGAUAACUUCGGGAAACCGGAGCUAAUACCGGAUAAUAUAUUGAACCGCAUGGUUCAAUAGUGAAAGACGGUUUUGCUGUCACUUAUAGAUGGAUCCGCGCCGCAUUAGCUAGUUGGUAAGGUAACGGCUUACCAAGGCAAUGAUGCGUAGCCGACUGAGAGGGUGAUCGGCCACACUGGAACUGAGACACGGUCCAGACUCCUACGGGAGGCAGCAGUAGGGAAUCUUCCGCAAUGGGCGAAAGCCUGACGGAGCAACGCCGCGUGAGUGAUGAAGGUCUUCGGAUCGUAAAACUCUGUUAUUAGGGAAGAACAAAUGUGUAAGUAACUAUGCACGUCUUGACGGUACCUAAUCAGAAAGCCACGGCUAACUACGUG